GACAGAGGGUGCAAACGUUGUUCGGAAUUACUGGGCGUAAAGGGCGCGUAGGCGGCCUGCUAAGUCGGACGUGAAAUCCCUCGGCUCAACCGAGGAACUGCGUCCGAUACUGGUGGGCUUGAAUCCGGGAGAGGGAUGUGGAAUUCCAGGUGUAGCGGUGAAAUGCGUAGAUAUCUGGAGGAACACCGGUGGCGAAGGCGGCAUCCUGGACCGGUAUUGACGCUGAGGCGCGAAAGCUAGGGUAGCAAACGGG
rnacentral:rRNA from 1 species